GCAGGAACCAACAUCCGAAACACACUCUCUCCAGGCCAUCCAGGCCACUUUUUUUCAGUGCUUCCAACUGCCAAAUUCACCUCAUUUUCUUGUUUUUCUUGAAGCUGUGAGUCCUCAGGUACUAUAUCCUCUGGUACUUGAUCCUCAGGUACAUGAUCCUCAGGGACUUGAUCCUCAGGUACAUGAUCCUCAGGGACUUGAUCCUCAGUUAGUUGAUCCUCAGUUACUUGUUCCUUGGUUACUUGACUCUCGGGUACUUGCUCCUGGGGAACUUGCUCCUGAGGUACUUCGGGUACUUCAUAUUCAGGCACUUCAUACCCAGGAACUUGAUUUUCAACUUCUUGAUUCUCAGGUAUUUGCUCCAAGUCAUGGUUCCCGUCAUGUUCAACAAAUCCCUGAUCAGCUUCAGCCAUAAUUUCCCCACUGUAACAAAACAUAGAUUCAAAAAUUAUUUCAAAAAGAAAAUGCAUUAACAAUUAGUAUAUUUGAACUCCGGCCAUCAAAUAUUCUUAGUCACCGGAAGCAACAAUACAUAUGCCCAACAAACAGAACUCAGGAUUCCAACUGGACAAUAUUCACUUCUCCUAACCUUCACUAACUUAAGAAAAUAAACUACGCAUAGCAUCGCAGAAAAAUAGAAUCUACAAACAAUUCAAAAAGUAAUAAUCCCAAAAAAAAUUAACAGAAAAGAAAACAACAGAGCACCGCACUAACCUGGAAUUAACAUGUUUGAGCUGGAGUACCUUAGGGUUUGAAAUAGUAACACAAUAAACCAGCACAUAAGCAUAUAAACCCUAAAACUACAAAGACAUUAUGACUAUAAAAUAAUUUAAAAAAUCACAAAAUAGCAAGAACCCAUUAAUGGGUCAAACAUAAAAACACCCCAAUCACUUAAAAAGAUAUUCAAUUUAAAACUACACACAAUAAUUACCGGACCCACAUGUAAUAAACCCUAAAAUAAAACUAUAGAAGAACACUUACAUGAGUUAGCGAGGAGCUAAUACUUGUACGAUAAAAUCUGUUGGCCUCAGAGAUUCUGGAAGUGAUCUUCUGAGGAACAAGUAAUCGGUUUAUUUAUUAUUAUUAUUAUUAUUUUCUCUUUUGGUUUUUGGAGGGUUUUUAGGUUUUUGAGCGAGAGAUGAGAAGAGCGGAGGGGAAGUGAAAUAUAUUUGCGUCGUGUGUGAUGAUAUGAGUUGAGGCGAUUUGGAUUUGAUUUUGUGGUCCUGUGAAGUAAUCUUAUUUACAAGUUGACCCCUAUUUAAUGCUUAAUUACUACAAUGCCCUUUUAAUUGGGUGGGCUUAACUUGGUUGUGUGGUCCAAGUAAUGUGGGCUCCCUGUGACCACGAGUUAGGGAUGGGGCUUUGAUGGGUUUUUGGCAUCUAACAACCCCAAUUACCUUUUUUUUUUCCCCCCAAAUUAGGAUCCAGCUACGGUACAACCGUGAUACCGUAUCACGGUUUUUGUCUAUAUCCGGAUAAGCCGUUGGAUUAAAUGUGAGUCCAUCUAACGGUUGAAAAUAGAAAUCGAAUAAGUGAGGUAACGACCGACAACUGUUGAAGGCGGUAAACUUACAUUGGAUAACAACGGUUGUAUUUUAGAAUUUCGAAAACAAAUUAGGGUUCAAUUGAUUUGUGUUGAUGUGGAAAUCAAUCGAAGGAGAUAGGUACUUGUUGGGGAGAAAACAUUUGAUGAAUCGUAUAUGAACAUGGGUUGUGAAACAUUGUAAUCCAAUCGUUCAUUUGUUUUUUAAUCGAUCGCCUGUUGAGUUUAUACCUAGUGUGCAGAGAACGAAAUUGAAAGGUGAAAAUCGCAAUUUUAGUUGCAAAGGGAGGAGGGGAAGUCCUGGAUGAAUGUCACAGUUGCGAAAUGGUGCCUGAGCGUUGCGAAAUCGAGGGUCAAUUUGUGAUGGUAGCAGGAGCUGCGACGCAUAGGGAGCGGUAGUGAAAGCUUACGAAACAGGCAUAUCUGUAGACAUAGUUAAUAUAAAUUUAUUGUUGUGCCAUUCAAAGCAGACGUAGCAGGUAAUUGGUGUAAAUAAACUUGUAAUUUGUUGUGAAAGAGUUGAUAAUGGAAAUUGGCUUCCGGGAGCAAAAAGGUUUGCAGCAAAUGAUUGAGUGAAUGUGAGAUUCGUAAUAACAAAUUAAUGUUUAAUUUGAUUACAGCAAUGGAGGCAGAGGGGGAUCGCAAGCGGAAAGGUUGCGAUGGAAACAAUUGCAAUGGAGGUACAGAAGGCAAUCCACUAAUUGCUUGUAAUAGUAAUUAUGGAUUCAUAAGCUAUUUGUAAGUAUUUAUGCUGCAUGAAAAAAUAAUGUUUGGAAUAUGAGGAUGCUGAUUAGUAUUAAAAAUUAUUUAAUUAUCAAGCGAUAAUAUGUUAUUUUAUGCUUAUAUUAUAAUUUAUAUUUGUGUUUAUGUAAUAUGAAUUAUUAAUUAUGUUAUAAAUAUAUUUAAUUUUGUGUAUUUUUAUGUGUUUAUUAGGAAAAAUAUUAAUUUCACGUACUUUGAGGCUCCAAACAGAUAAACGGAGGUCAAAUUUGGAUUCUGGAGGUCUGAAAACCUUAAGAUCAGUCAAGAUCGGCUUAAAAUCGGGCUUGUGUAAAAAAUAUUGACUUUUCCUGUUGACCGAGCACUGAUUGGAUGAUGAAAUGAGCUUACAAUAGAUAUGAGUGCAUGGGAUAACUGGCAAUCUUGACUAAAUCUCAACCGUUCAUGAUUCAAUGGCCAUGAUUGUGCCACGUGGCAAUGGUUGGUGAAGCAAGUUGGAGGAUCCGAAUCUUUGUAUUCGGGUCGACCCGAUCCACCCAUUAACCCGCCAAAUCUCAACAGUUCUUUGGGCAAAUCGGACGAGUCAAAUGAUGCCAUGUGUGAUGUUGACUUUUGAAGUUUGACCAGCCAUUGGAUCUUGAUCUAAGGGUUGUGAGGAGCACAUGCAUGAAGCCUAUGAUGGACCGCAAAGCACUGGAUUAUGAAUUUAUUUUUGUAUAAAUAGAGCCUCAUUUUUAUGUUUUAAUCAUAUCUCUACAACUCUCUUCUUCUCAAAUUCUCUCCAUCUCCUUGUAAUCUUGAUUUCCAGGUGUGUUUUUAAUAUUUUGUAUAAUUAUUUUCAUUAAUAAAAUUAGUUUUAUUUCCAAUUUUAGUUGUUUUUAUUUCUUUUAAUUAUAAGUAAUUCAAUUUUACUACUUCUUUUUAUUUUAAUUAUGCUUCACUAAAUAAUAUUAGUUAGGGGAAGGUGAAACUCUUAGGAAAUAAAUAUGAUUUAAUCAAAUUCUAUUUUUAAUUUUAUAAAUUAAAUUAUUUUCUAUCUAAUUUUAUACAUGUUUUAUAUUUUGAAAUUUUGAUUUAUUGUAGACAAACAAAUGAAUUUGGCACAAUAAAUUCUUAAGAUCUUAAUAUAAGGCAUGGUGAAAUGGUAUUUUGACUUAUUGUAGACAAACUAAAUUUUGGCACAAUAAAUACUUAAUCCAUCAUAAAAUUAAAGGGAAAAUAAUAAUAAUUUGUAUAAUUAAUCUUUUGGGUAAUAAAUCUAAAAAAUUGGCAAAAAGAAUUUAUUAAGUUUUAUUUAUUUCUAAGAGUGGAUCCAUAACCCUAGCUAGUUCAAUUCUAUAGUUUCAUUUAAAUUAAGUUGUUUAUAUUCAAGUUUUAAUUUCAAUUUAUAGAUAAAAUAAAAUAAACUAAUUAAAUCUUUUCUCUGUGGAUCGACCUCGGACUCACCGAGUUAUAAUACAACAAGACACUCUUAUACUUGGGAGUUAAAAAAAAUUACUUUUAAGUUGUGUCAGAUGCAAUUAAAGUAAUAUGAAAUGACUUGAGUUAUUUUCAGUGGUGAAACCGUCCGACAAAUGAAGGAAAAAAAUGCAAGUGCGCGCAUUUCAAAAGAGGUGUGUGAAAUUUUAAUAAGAUAUUGUAAAUGGUAGUAAGAGAGAUGCGAGAAUAAGGUUUAUGUCGUUGUGUUACAAUGAACUGCCUUGUAGGUUCGAAGGGAGAUAGCGACAACAUUUAAAAGUUUGCCUCCGGAGAGAAAAUGGAAGUACAAAGUUCAAGUCGAACGACCAAGAAAAGGGGAAGCGAGGAACAAUUUCUUCACACGAUGUGCCCCAGAUAGAUUAGCUGCAGCUGUUUCGAAUUUGUCUGACGAACAAAGAGCAGCAGUUUAUGAAAUGGGUUUGGGGAGUCUGCUGAACUUGAACAGUGGUAGGCUGAAAAGGAAGCUAUGCGGAUAGUUAGUAGAGAGGAUUGAUAUAGCUAGGUGUGUUCUAGUUUUGAAUGGCAUCGAUGUAGAGCUUAGCGCUAAUAGUUUUAGGCAGAUAAUGGGAUUAAAGGAUGGGGGGAUGCCUAUUGUAUUAGAGGGUGAGAAUAUAGAAGUGGAAUCAUAUUUAAAAUUGUUACGUGGAUCAUCCAGAGGAAUUAACGUCAAGGACUUGGAGGAAAUAUUGAGUAAUUUAACGGCAGCCGACGAUAGAUUCAAAGUGAUUUUUAUGUUGUUUGCUCUGUGUACAGUCUUAUGUCCCCCUAGUGGAGUACAUAUAAGUUCUAGUUUCUUGUUUUCGUUAAAGGACGCGAAGAGCAUACAAAAGAGGAAUUGGGCCACAUUUUGUUUUCAUAGAUUUAUUCAAGGCAUUACUAGGUACAAAGAAGAGAAUUUGGCAUACAUAGGAGGAUGUCUUCUAUAUUUGGAGGUAAUAUUGCAGCCUGGAAUGAUUGACUGUUAAAAUUUACCGCAGGUAAAAACAAUAUUCGUUGUAUUAAGAGAAUAUAUGUAAAUGACCAAAAAUAACCGACAUGUUCACGUCAUGUAAUUGGAAAAUUGUAGUUGUUGUUGUUUCAUUGAUAAGAAUCUUUGGUAACAAUGUCAAAGAAUAACUGCAUGAUGAGUGGCACUGUUAAUGUAGCUGUUCAGCAAAGGACAUAUUGGGUGGAGAAACAUUAUUGAAUAAUCCGAAGAAUUUAUGCGUGCUUGGUUAACUUUGGAAUUGAAAAUAUGUUUCAAAAACUGUAUGCUUAAAUAAACGAGUUUGUGGUUGAAAUGUGUAUUGGCAAUAAUGUGUUUUCCUUUUUUCAGAUGUUGUACUUCAAUUCAAUAUUGUAUGCAAAAGUAAGGAGGGAUAGGUCGAUGUGUCCGCUGGCUGUGUGGAACACAGACGAGAUAAAACGGUUAAUGAAAUGGAUAGAGCAUAAAAGAGGUUAUGGCAACACUGAGGUAAAUUAUUACAAAAGUUGAUGGAUGAUACGUAAUAAGUGCGAAUAAGUUAAUGGAAAAUUACUUUAUUUAAAGGGACUACGUGGUACAAUUAGCAGGAGCGAUGGUCCAUUUUAUUAAACUUGAUGGUUACAUAUAAAAUUGUUUGUACGGGCCGAAAAUAGAUUUGUACUUAUUACUUUGUUUUAGCAUAUACGGGUAUCAACUGCAGUAGUGAAAUGUGAUAAUAGAUGUGAGGAUGGAUCAAGUAAGGCUGCAGAAGAGGAAAAUUGUGAUGUGAAAAGUGGAGACACGGAAACUGUCUCAAGAAUGAAAAAGGCGAAUAUGAUUAGUUAUUUAAAAAUUCCGGCGUUAAUGUCAAAAUCGCAUGGAGGAUCAUCUGAUAUGUCUAUGAAGAAGCAGAGAGUGUACCGCAGUCCCCAGUGCAAUAAGGAAAUGGAGAAGGACUCCAGUGAGAGAAUCGAUCGCGAGAAAAUAUGCAAUUACUGCCUCAGUUAUGAGCCCUCUUGCAGUGGAACUAGUGGCUGUGUAGAUACACAUAACGAAAUCAAUGGAAAAGAAGAUAGUAAGAGUAGAGAAGAUAUGGAUUGUGUACAUCUGCUUCAUAGUGAUAUCGAGACCUGGAUGCCUGCAGUAUGUGUUGAGAAGUUACACCGUAAUGAGCAAAAUAAGGUGGUUUUUAUGUAAGAAAUGCAAAAUGUUUGUAAAUGAAUCGAUAUGAUUAGUUCGUUUAUCAUUAACGUGGUGUGUGUUUUGUUUGAUUACUUGCGAAUGAUUUGCUGGACCAGUUAUUGCAGGGGUGUGUUGGUAGGCUACAAUCUGGUAUGCGAAGUAAACGGCUGGCAGAUGUGCAUAUGUGUAAUGGAAAGUGUGGCGGGAGAGUGCAUGGUGAGUUGGAAGUGUUUAAGAAUUGUCCUGAAAGAUCACAUUAUCGAGUCGGACCUUAUCUUAUGCCAAUGCCUUUUGAUAUGGAUGCGGAGAAGUUGAUAACAUUCUGCAUGGAUGAAAAUCUUAACAAAGGGUGAGAUAAUUGGAAAUUUUACCCAACCGCGACCGUGAUGUAGGAAAAAAGUGUAAAUCUCGGAUUCUUUAGUAGCUUAAAAUGUAGAUAGGACAAAGUUGACGGAUGAUUCAGUUAUAGCACUAAUGCCUGUCGAGGUUGCUUUUAAUGUAGCAGGGAGAUGCUUUUCCAGACAAAGUUGAAUGAGAUAACUCGAAACGAUAUUAUGUCUCUAGCUCCCAGAAGUAUGAUAAAUUUGAAGGUGGAGAUAUAACUCGUUCACAAUGCUGCAUUGAUGUUGGUGUUAAUAAUUUAUUGUUUUGAAUAUCAGUUGUCAUAAAAAAGUGUACACUGAGGUUUUACUUAGUGGCCAUGUAAAAGUCUAAGUUUGGUGAACAUUUCAUUUUCAGAUUGUUUGCGCAUUUUCGGAAUUGCUUUCAGCACAGGGGAGGGAGAAGGUUGGCGACAGUACAUUCAGCCUUUUCCUGUCAGCUUUUAAUGGCGUAAGUCGUUUCUGCGACUCUGUGAUGUUGAUAGUUUCUUUUAAUAACAGCUGAACACAUAACUGCGCGUGUAGCAGAAUGUAUUGUAUGUGUCCAGGUGUAGAAGUUCGUGACAAAAUGUAUGAAAAAAUUUUUCCUAACUUCGUAUGAAACAUUAUUUUUCUAAUUGUGUACUCAUUGUAUGUUAUAGAAAGUUUAGUUCGUCCAUUAUAACUUAGAUAGAGGAUAAAUCAAACAGUUGCAGGAUUGUGUUGAUGGCCAGUGCACGCAUCUUAUGUUUCCAUCUGCUCACUUUUUGAAUGGUAAAUUUGUUGUGGCGAAUUUUGGUUGUUGUAAAAAGGUGGGUAUAAUACUUUUGUUACGUGUAGGCAUGGGUACACUUAGUGGUUUGUUGUUCCGUAACUCGUAUUCCUUGUUAUUGUGCAAACCUGUGUAGAUAUUUGUCCCGGUCAGCAACAGGUUUGCGCAUUGGUACGUCUUGGUUGUAAUUAUUGAUGAAACGCGGGUCGAGGUGUGGGAUCCACUCCCUAGUGCAACGACUUCAGAUUUGGCCAUUGAAGAAUGUAAACACGUGGUGAGUUAUGUUUUGUUAAUUGCAAGGGUAGUUACGUAUUACCGGGGAAAAUUAUUAAAGCAAUUAUUGUUCUUAGGGAAUGAGGACUUAUGCCACGUAGUUGUGCAAAAGUGCACACUGAAACCUUUGCAGUGAUUCUUGUAUUGCAGUUACGAUCAAUUGAGAUAUUGUUGCGUCAAGGGGCAACAACCCGUAUCUCCGCUGCAUUAAACAUCAGGGAUUUCGCGAUUGAGUUCUGUACAAGAGAGCCAAGUAUAGUAAAUGAACAUGAUGGUGCGCUAUAUGUUAUGUUGAUGAUGGAGAGGCAUCAAAUGUGGUCAUGCCUUACUGAGACAGAAGUAAUGUUUUCCAUUUGUUAUUUUCGAUAGUUAUAUGUGUCAAUCUUUGAUACUAGUACUGUGCACUUGUUAUUAUACAUGUGCUAUGCACUGAAAAUAAUGUGUGUAUUGAACAUGUUUAGAUCAAGUUUCAUUCCGAUUGUGAGAGGGCACGUAUUGUGGUCGACCUUAUCACCUACAGCUUCAACAACUUAAAGGAUAAGGUUCGCACAAGCGUUCAAAAGCAUCAACAGGAUCUAGAUGAUGCAGCGCAUUGUGUGAAUAAGGCUAUUGCGAAAAGGCGGUUGAGGCAGCUGAGGAAGUCCAACCGUAUGGGCCACGGUUGGAGGCAUUAGCUACCUAUGCAUAGUUACCUGUCUGUUUAUUCCAUUAUCUGCUUACAUGUAUACGCUUUCUGACAUUCAAUUCCAUUUGAUGGGUGUGUUUGCGACAAUACAACUUUUCUUGCACCCUCACAGAUUUUGCAUAUCGAUUAUGUUUGGUUAUCUGUUGUAACGUUGAAAUGAUUUUUCGUUUAAACUAAAACUUUUUUCAUGUAUUGGUAGUUUAUGUAAUGCAAUAAUAGGUUUCAUAUCAAUAAUUGUAAAUGGAAACAUUCGAAAGGCCUGGGUCGUCGCUGUCGAUUGCGCAUAUGUGUUGUUAGAAAUUGGCUGUUUUGUUCCUUGAUGGUCGUGCUUUCUUAAAUUAAUUGAUCACGAAUGCCAUCCACAAACAUACAGUGGACCUUCUUACGACUUCACAUCCAUCUCAUUAUGGUAUUUAUUGGGAAACAAUGUUAAGCGCUAUUGGUAGAUUAAGUGGUAAUUAAUCAAUAUUUGAUCGGAAAUGGAACAUAUUGCCAUUCAAUAUGUGACAGUAGUCUAGUAUUAUGCAACUAAAAUUAAUGGAUAGUGUAUCUUUACACCUGAGCUUUGGCUGUAUACAAGUAACUAAAGGUAGGGUCCUCUACCCAACUAAUUUGUGUUGCAUGUACUGACAGUCACCAAAAGUAGUGGGCGUAUAUGAUGAGGUUCCAAUAUUGUUUAAUUGACUUGGGAGGGUGCUUCUGUUCAGGCCUGGUUUGUUGAGUCACUGUCCCAGGUGGGUAGACGUUGGUUCUGCCAUGCAAGUACAUCAGGCAUGAAUGGUAGAUUAUGCUUACUGUUUUGUUGCGCCGUGACAACAUUCCUCGAGUCCGUUGGUUGUUGUAAUAUGGGGGACGUACCUGAUCCACAUACCCCAUUUCUUGGUUGAACGUUGUUAUCGCAACCCAAGUCCACGGUUUGUGCCGUUGAGUCAUUGAACCGUUGUUCUGUCCUACCUUUUUGCUUGCACUUUCGAACAUUGUGGCCUCGUCCACCACAUCUGCUGCACUUUCGCUUUUGCCCCUGUAUGUUCUUUUGUCUUUUAACCGAGCCUUUUGUCAAAACAACCUCCGGGUCUCGUACCACUGUUUCUGUGCUAUGGAAAGCUUCCCUUGUCGAUUGCUCUCCCUGAGACAUUGCCUCUAAUUUUAACGUCAAAUUAUGAAUAUUUGAUAUUGCUUCAUUGUAUGCGGCAACACUGGAUGCAGCAUAUCGAAGCAAACUCCGGCAUGAUGCAUAAAUCAUGCCUACGCGAGCUUCCUGUGUCAUGUAAUGCAAACACUGUAAACUUGUCUCCGAUGGAGACUGAACCGCAUACUUUGCAGUCAUACUCUAUCGAGACAAAAUCAUUGCAGGUGGAAUUUCUGUGAUAUUUUCAGCUUUCAUCACAACAAAACAGUGCGAACAUGGAAUUCCAAGUGUCUCCAAGCACUUGCAGCUGCAGGAUAAAGUUUUUGUCGUUUCAUUUACCACUACUUGGAAAUGUUUUCCAGAAACACCAAAUUGUCUAACUCUGUAUGUAGUACAGCCUAUAUCUCGGUCACAUAGUACUGCAGUAAGCAUCCCUUCCUUCUCAAUCUCUUCUCGAACCAAACGAAAUAUGGCACGCGUGUACUUCUCGGCUGCCUGCUGCUCAUACACCUUCAGGUGGGUUAUUAGUACCGGACGGCCCUCACAACUGUCAAAGUCAUCCUUUCCCUCCCCCUCUCUUUGCCUAUCCAUAACUUGAUCCAUCUGUUUAACAAAUUCAACCAAUCGAAGCCUUCUAUUCACAUAGUGAUUUAAUUAUGCAUUCAUUCCCUCUGAUCUCUGAGUGCUCCUCAUUCCACCGAAAAACUUACCUCGCAAAUAUGUCUCAGCCCACAUAUGUCUGUCAUCAUACAUCUUCUGAACCCAAUCAUUCAUCCCUACGUGGUGUGUGUCUACCAUGUGUUUCCAUUUUUCAUUAAAUUCAUCCUCCGUAUAUCCAUUCAGCAUACACCGCCGAAAUUCUCUAGUGAAAUCAGUGUUGUUUACAUUGGUCUGUGCAUUCCGAGCCAAAUGCCAGCAGCAUAAUCAGUGGCACGCUUGUGGAAAAAUCUUGCUAAUUGCAUUCCGUAUUGCUCUGUCCCCAUCUGUAAUGACUGUCUUUGGCUGCUUGUUAUUCAUUGCCAAUAUAAAUGAUUCUAACAGCCAUGUGUAUGUGUGUUCAGUUUCAUCCGCUAAUAAAGCAAAUCCGAACACUAUUGUCCGCCUAUGAUGAUUGAUCCCCAAAAUAACCACAAAAGGUUUCCGAUACGCAUUUGUUUUGUACGUUGCGUCGAAUGCUAUUACAUCCCCAAACAAUGCAUAAUCAGCACAAGAUCCCCCGUCGCACCAAAACAAGUCCCCUAGUUGAUUUGAGCUAGUAACUGUAAAGUCAUAAAAGAAAGACGGAUCGGAGCUCUUCUUCCCAUCUAGAUAUGAUAGGCAUGUAACUGCAUCUGACUCUUUUAAUUCCUACUGUCUCUUCGAAUCGAGCAUAUUUUGCACAUCCUUCAUACUAUACCCAACUUUGUCGUAACCCCCGGAUCUAUGCACCAUGAACUUGUGUAUCUGAGGGGGUUUUACACCCACUUGCUGAAGUGACGAUGUCGCUACCAAGUCUGGUUCUGUUACUCUUCUAUGGGACUGUAUGUGAUGCACAAGCUUUGGGGGGGUUAGUUCGUGAUUGUGGUUGCCCUGGAAAUAGCUGCAUGUCCAUCGCCUCGUUUGUUCGUUGAAAUUUAUGCGAAAUUGUGCCCUACAAACCGUUCGUGCUUCCCUGAUUCUUCUUUUGUUUUCGAGGUGCUUUCGAUAUCUGAACCCCUCUCGACUACACACCCAUGCAAUAUGAGUGAUUUUCCCUUGAACGUUUCUUCGUUUAUUGUGUUUUCGUAUGCCAAAUCCUUUUGUGCGCGCGUAUUCCCGAAAACAUAUUUCAACUUCCUCUUCACUGCCGAAUUCCUUUUCUAACAUUGGCGGAAUGGUUGUCCCGUUAUUCGAACCUGUAGCUACGGAUUGGGGGAAUUGUCUGUCAUUGUUGAUGUUGAUGCAUUCUGCAGUGGUCACCUGGUCCACGGUAAGGUGGGGGUCGUCUUCCGAGGGUCCUUCACCUUCAUCGUCAGUUAUGACCGGACUGGAAUUCGCUAUAUUAAAGUCGUCUUCGCCAUAUAUGUCUGCAGUAAUCAGCGAACUGAAAUAGUCCCCAGCUUCCGUUUCUUCGUAUGAUUCGGACAUGGUAUUCUGUCUCACUAAGACAGAACACUCUUGACAUAUUUCUUUCAGCGCCCUCUGUACGUAACGAUAGAAAGUCGUCCCUAAUUCAACAUUCCAAUAACGUUGCAUCUUCUCAGAAGGUUCCUGUCACCUAUUUUUCCCUCCAAGGUAUAACGACAUCCCUGGUUCUCCCGCCCUUUUAUGUAUGUUUAAAAAGUUUAAAUGCUACUGUUAUAGUUACGCGAUUUUGACUACUUCGUUGGUGUACCGCGAGGUUAUUUACUAAUUGGUCGUAGUUGACCUGAAAUUAAAUUAUCCAUUCAUAUGAAAGGCCCAUUAUUGUCUUAACCUAAAUAUCCAAUGCAAACGGGCCCCGCAUUGGCCCCGUUUGCAACAUGUCGUUUGCAGAAUGAACAUAAAUCUCUCUAAAAUUUCAGUGUGCCAGUUACCAACUUCAACUUUUCACAACUCAAGUACCCAAUGGUAAUGUAUCCAACCUUUUGGGAAGACUCACAUUUCAAUUGAAAUUCAGGAUUCCUUUUACACUCAUGUUCAUUAUAUCUUCAAAUAAAAUUAUCCGUUGACAUAUUUGCAUUUGCAUAUGGGGUAAACCAACCUUCACCAACGCUACUACAAUUGCUUCAUUGAUAUUACACCAUUGGACACCCCCUUCAUUAACAAUCUUUAUUUGUAAUCGACUGAACGGAUCAAAGUUUGUUUUCAAUUAAUGUGUAACAUUUCACCUGCACUGAUCAGUGUGAUUUAACUUCCAACGUAUUUUCAGCUUACUACGUCCUUCCAAAUGCACAUUACGUAUUUCACUAACACAGUAGCUGCACGGACAUGUUGACUGCAUUAAUCAGAGAUUCGCAUAUAGUUGCUUUCAGUAAGAUGUGACGGUGUGCGUGGUGUGCACCAUUUACGUGGAGAGGUAACCCUAAAAGGGUCCACUUCAUCAUAUUUUGUUAUCUUGUCUGACUCCAGUUUUGUUUAACCUUUUUACCUGAUGCAUCAUACACCGAAAAUAGAGAAAAUUGUUAAUUCGUUCUGCCGUAAAAUACAUAAACCCACUUGAUAUGUUUGGUUUUUUUGGUGAUAUAUGUUGCCUUAAGGAGUCCAUGGAGAGCAAUAUAGUUGCCAACCGACAUAUUACAUGAGACGAUAUGCAAUUUAGCAUUAACCACGCAAAUGUGUAUCAGUUCAAGAAAACAAUUUACACAGACCAUGACAAAAGCAGUGCAGGUACCACACAAAGGGACAACUUUAUAUUGCCUAUAUAUAAAUGGAGUGCUUCGGGUCUGGUCCUACGAACCUACUACACGAACAGAGUAACAACUAACGCAAAGAUUGACUACAUAAUUACAACUGUAUAGCCACUAUCGGCCGAACUCCCACUGUCGUUAUCCUCGUUCGCUGCGAAAUCUUCGUCCUCGGCCGGAUCACAUAAAUGUCGUUCCUAUGUAAAUGGACAGAUAAGCAUCACAAACAUUAUGAACUUCCCAAAAAAUGUUGAUAAUAGUGAUCAUGCGGAUAUAUGCUUAAUUAACUAUGACCAGUGCGUUGAUGAAGGAAAUUUUUGAUACAUUAUAAAAAUAAAAACCACAACCUGACUGUUCGAUGGCCCCACGGGUGGUGAUGUUCUUACAACCUUGCAGGUCCGCUUCCCAUGGCCGUCUCCACUGCAUAUGCUGCACCUGUAAAUUUACUUGGACCCGCCACCGUCGCGCCUUUUUCCCGUCGGUUGUUGACCUUUCGUGGCGAUACCUUCUUCCAGUUUGUGCUCCCGGCCAACACAUACGCUGGGGACUUGGUCUCUUGCCCCCAAAAUUCUUGUGGGGGUAUCAACUGUCGCCACUUGUGAUUCCUCUCCGUCAAACAUUACAACAAGACGGACAUUGUACUCGCCAUUGGUGAUGCACUGUCUAAUAAUAUUCUUAAGCGAUUCGUCUCCGUUGACUUCCACGACAUGACCACCCCACGGAAGGACUGCUUUAGGGUGGAAUCUAUGAAUCUUUGGAGACUCCUUCUGGAGCACCAGCGCUGCAAUGUUGCACAGACGUUCAACAGUAUACGUCGUUGGCCUAACUGUUUGAAUCAUCAUGCCCGACCCCAUGUACUCGAGGACGAAAGUGAAGAGAGGACCCUCUGCCGGUGUGGAAUCGGUCAUACUGUUGUUUCCGUAAAUACCAUAAAACCCGGUUGAGUACGAUUUUUGUGGUUUGAAACGUUGCUAUGCAGUAACCGAAACAAAUGAUGACUUUUUCUGGUAAACACAAUAUAUUUUGCUUUCCACUAGUACCCCCCGGCCGGUUACACACACACUUCAUAAAUGACGGGCCCCUUUAUGCAAUUACGACUGCAGGGACAGUUUUCAUAAAUACCAUAAAUGAUUGGUCCAGUCCUCGAACUAUUGACAAUUUCGUUAUUUUUCGUUUUACUCCAUGUUUUUCAUUUCCCCACAAAUGAUGUGGUUUUGGUAUUUACUUAAACUUGAGAAAGCGUUAUUAGAAGUUUAUGUAUUACUAUUUAUGUGUUCAUUUUAUGUUAGAAUGAACAUCACAUAUAGUAAAUUUCUAACAACUUACUAUAAAAUGUAAAAAUAAUUUUACUCAUAAUUAAUAAUUUACUUUAUAAUUGUCAAUAGUGAUGUAAUUACUGUUCACAAUUUAAUUAUUAAUUGUACUUAUCGUUAACGUACAUUAUAAACAAGUUAAUAAAAAUCUUUAAUUAUUUAUUGGUAAUACAUUAAUUAGUUAUAAUGCAUUUAAUUCUUGGAAAUUAUUAAUAGCAAAUUAAUUUUUACAAAAAAUUUUAAUUUUAUAUGAAAAUAUAAUAAUAAUUAUAAUUAUUAAAAAAUUUCAAUAGUUUUAAAUUUUUUAAACUGGAGGUUUUUUUCAUUAUUUAUAAGUAUGGGUGCCAAUUGAUACUAUAGGAUUUCAGUAAAAUAUUAUUCAGUAUAAGUGGUUGAACGAAAUAUGACCAUUCAAAUUGUUUAUAGUAGUGUUGAAUAAAAAGAAAUACAUUAGAUAACAGGGUCGUGCAUGAUAUUUCAUAGGCCGACCAUUACCUACAUUAAAUGUAACUUUAUUGGAAAUAUCUCUUCUUAAUUAUGAUUCCCAGGGGAGGGGAAAGGUUGUAACGGUCGGGAUGUACGAUGCUUCGCCCAGAAGUCUCCCACACAGUUAUCGAGCACUGAUAACACUCCAACCAAGAUUGACCGAUUUGGGGGUAAUUGCUUGCAUCGCGACUGCGGCUGUCACAUCGGCAAUGACAAAUAAAUGACAGUAGUAGAUCUUUCCGUCCUACUAAAUCUUCGAAGUAAUUAAAGCAUGGAUUGUGGAUUUCGGGGAGGGCAACAGUUGAGGGAUGAUGUUGUUGUCAUUCGCGUGUACAAACACUGACAACGAAGUACUUUCCGGUGAUUUGCUGACCAAUACAGUCAUCGGGUUUCAAUAAAAUAAUUGACAGUGCAUUGGGUGUCGCACCUGUCAAUCCCGGAGACAUGUGAUAGUAUAUUCAAAUCUUGCAGCAGCUAUUUAAUGCUUUUGGGCAAUGGAAAAGGUGCGUGGAAAUUUCCCAGGGGUAUACCAGCUGCACAAACGGCGCAUACAUUAAAUCGUUGUUCGUCUUCGCCUCUUUUGCAUUUAUUGUCAUUAAUAUGGGUGCCACGUUGUAGCUAUUGGUCAAAUUAAUUGACAGCAACUGCACGCCUACAAGGGAUGAGUGGAAUAAUUUGUUGUGCAUCCCCUCGGUUGACUUCAAGUUACCGUUUCUUUUAUUACCGUUGGGGACCAUAUGAUAACAUUCCGUAAAGCACCUUCACCACUUAUAUAUUGCUUUUCCUUCUUUAUACGAUCUUGCUUGAGAUAUCUUCAUGUGAAUUUCGAUUUGAGAAGAAUAAAUGGCAUCAUGUGCGAGUAUUUACACCAGCAAUGGGAGUGGUAGCCGGGGUAAAUGGAUUCAACUAAAAAAUCGAUACUGCAACUGUCAUGAGCGUCGACGAGCUGCAAUACGCAUCUCAGAGUCACCUAAGAACCCAAGGCGCCUUUUAUUUUGCUGUGACACAUGUAAGUUCUUUCAGUGGUGGACGCCGGAUAACGAGGAGUGGGCCAGUAUGCGUGACUACGUUCAUGAUAGGACAACAGAGUUUCGUUUGCGUCCGUGGCACAUUGCGUCGUGGUUUAUUGGGAUCAUCGUGGCAAACCUUUUGGUAAGAGAAGUGGUUGUGAUGUACUUUUGGUGGUAUUCAAGGAGGACCUAGUAAGCUGAUAAGUCCCCGCCAAUGUGCAAUUGUUUAUGCUUUUAAAUUUUGUUGUUUGAAAUGGUAAAGUAUGUGCUAUUAUACAUUGCCACAUGUAAAGCACAUUAACCGAUAUGUAAUCGAACGGAUUAUGAAACCGAGGAUUAAAUCAUCUGCAUGAUUGUGUUUUGGUUAUGGCGUUGUUAGAGGUUGUUCUGUGUUUCAUUUAGCAUUGUUUGUAACCAUUACGAUUCCGACAAAGGGAAUGUCAUUCAAAAGUGGGGUCGGCUAACUUAAGUCAAUUGUUAUCGCACAAAGGUAUAAAACAAGGCGCGUGAACCAUAAAAAGUGAAACCUAGAUGCUACCCCUUAUCCAUAAUAGCCAAAGAACAUCUGAGAUAUAAAAAAGCCCCUACCAGAGUUGAACAGCAGCAAAACAACAUUAGAACACUGAGAGACGUUGAUAAGAGGUAGCAUCUACUAUCAAUGCCUUCAAGACGGAGAUUUGCUAGUGUAGCCGAUUGUAAAUUGCCCAGGCUAAAACGAACAUAAUCGACGCCUCAUUUAGCUCGACAUUAAAAUUAAAAUUUGAUAGAACCCCCUCCCACGUGAUGAACACAUCAAGAAAUGAGGACGUGAACAAAAUCUAGUACAUUCGAGAAGUUGCAUUAAUGGCAAUGUGCAAAUGCAUGAUGUUGCGCUUAUCUGCUUCGUACCUGCAGAUAAUUCGAAAUUCAUUAUUUGGGAUUGACAGAACAUGUCCCCAGACCUAAGAAAUACCAAGAUUGUUGUCUCAUAUUCCAGGACUGAGGCAGGCAUUUACAAGUUUUCAUGGCAGUCGUUGGAUAAACAAACCGAAUAAAGCGUUUGUGUAUGUAAGGUUAAGGGUAAUUACACCGUAAUAUUAGGACCAUGCGAGUCGCUGAUGGAUUUUAAGAAUAUUAUCGACGAUUGUAAAUAACAAACAUUUAUAUGAAAGAAAAUAACCAUGGAAAUAUAGUAAAAACACAGCACACACUUCCAUCGCAACGUUAAAUCGAAAACUUAUAUAUCAAUCAGUAGUCUGCCGAACCUGAUAUCAUUGUUUUCUUCUGGAGAACGAACGAGCGAGGUGACGUCCCUCCGCGGGGGAAAAAGUGGUGAUAAUGUAUUGAGCACCACGGAUGAAAACCUGAGGGGAAGUUGUUUACUUUAACGACCAUGUUGUAACGGCUUUUUAUAUUAAUGUUACGGUCCACAUGGGUCAAUUAAAAUCGUACAUGUGGCACAGUGGCCAAGACGAACAAAGGAGCAGAGUUUCAAUUGAAGUAAUAAGUCCCGGGGAAAAAAAUUUUUGGUUACGCAACAGUAACAAGUGCAAUAACAAAUGUGAUGAAACCACCGAUGUUCCUUUCGCAUAGGGUUUGAAAACAGAUGAAACAAAUAUUGUUAAUAUUCCAUAGGUAUUGCAAAGGAGACUUAGCUGUUAUCAUCCCUACGUGACCACAUAGUUGGAUUUACGGUAUUUAUUGGGAGAUAUGCACACUGCUUUUGUCAAUAAUAUAUAAUGAGCGGAGAACGAAGUCUAUUCGAUAUUAAGUUAUCGCAUAGGUUUAUAACUAUGUAUACACACAUAUAUAUAAAGAGUCGGGUUCGGGAUGUAUGUCUGUGUUUGGUACAUGACAUGAUGCACAGCCUUUAAAUUAGACAUUUUUACGGAUAAAGGUACGGUCCAACUGCGGUACCGCGCUACUGUUGCAUUCAGACGUUCGAUGCACAUUCAUUGCUGGGAUCCACUAACAUGCAACAACUGAAUGCAACUGUGACCAGGGGUGACUUUAAGUAUAGGCGAGCAAGGCGAUUGUCUAUGGCCCUAUAUUUUUUGAAUGCCUCAUUUUUUUUUGUAUUUCUUAAUUGUUCUUUAAUUAAUAAAUAUCUUUUUUUAUUAAAAAUUAUGUAUUGUAGAAAACCCUAUUAGACAUCUUUAUAAUUAACAGUUAUACCAUAACUAAGAAUUAUUUUUUAUUUAUUUAUAGAAAAUCAAUAUUUGGUAACCUUAAUGUUCCAUAGAGAUAAUAGGGAAAAUUGUUUAGUCAUUAAUUCAUGCAUUAUUAGUUUUUCUAAAAAAAAAUUUACAUUUUUUACCUUUUAACUUUCCUAAGAAAAGGCCAAAAAUAUGACUUUUAAUAUUCAUUUUAAUUCCUUGUAGUAUAAAAAAUCAAUAGAUAAAUAGAUUUCUUACUCUCUUUUUUUUUUUUUAACAAAGAGAAUUAUAACAUUCAUUGAUUCAUUUUAAAAAGAAAAAAAUUGUUUCUUAAAAUACAAAAUGCAUAUCUAAUAUUUAAUAAUCAAUUUAUCAUCUCAAUUUUCUACUAUUCUAAAUACAAAAAUAUUCUAUUUGACAAAAUAUUGUUUUAAUUAUUUGUUUAUUUACUUUUGUAAUAAUGUUAAUGGAAGUAAAAAAAGAUAUCUUCUUGCUUUUUCUUUAAGUUUGGUUUUUGAAAAUUUUUAAGAUCGUUUUUAUUACUAUUAAAAUUCAAGAGUUAAAAGUCGAAUAAAUUUUUUAAUAUUUUAUAUUUCUUUGAGUAUUGAAAUGACAAAAUAAAAAAGGCCCUACAAAAACUUUUUGCCUAAGGCCCCAUAUACUCAAAAGCCGGCCCUGAUUGUGACACGGUACCACACUUCGCCCACAUAUUUAUCCCAUUUUGAAAAUAAAAACAUCUUAAACUUUUAUGUCGUCUUUCCUUCAUUCGAUGAUUGGAACCACAAGUGAACUAAAGCUGCCCCCAUGGAAUUUGUAUAACAAACAUUGAAGGUACAACACCAUCAACCAAUAACUCAAUGCAUAACCGGAACUCAUUUAUUUGGUAAAGUCGAUGCGGUCUUGAGCUUCAACUUUAAAUAACAGGUUUCAUACGGUCGAAGGGGUACACGGUACCCCUUCUUAUUGGGAAACUACUAUGUUGUGACUCUUGCUUGCAGAAGAGUCAUCCAUUAUUUAUAUUUGAAUGAUAAACCUUACGUCAGUAUUAUGAAAUUUUUAAAACAUUGUCAUUUACUGGGAGACAUCUACGGUGCAACGGUAAAAUUUGUUAUUAAUAUUGAAAAAUAAAAUUUUGUUAAAUAAUUAAUUUCGUUUAUUAUUCAUAAAAAAUUUUUUUACUGUUUCUACAAAUUGUGUAAUAUGGUUGGUUAAUUUAUAUAUUGUUACAAACAGUAUAAAUUCUAUAAUAUCACAUAUGCUUCAUUAAAAUUUUAAAUAACAAUAAUCUUUUUAUUUUAUAUUACAUUGCUAUUUAUGUAUUUCAAAGAAUAAAAAACAUUGUAUGUAUUACAAUGUGUUUUAAGUUAUUGCCGUAAUCCCGUCAAAGAAAAUAAUAGUACAGUUACUCAAUUAACACAGGAAACAAAUGAAGAAAAAUCCAAAUUUUUGUAUGAAACCGUUCAUUAUUUAGUUCUUUUGAAAUCAUUAACGAUGUGAGUGUUACAAACCAAAGAGAAUAAAUCCGAGGCGUUGAAACAAGUUUUCAGUUCCAUAUAAUGGGCAACUCAUAUAUAGACAAAAUGACGGGUACCAUGGAGCAGGUGCAAGGUACAAGACCCGUUAUGGUUUACUUGAAUUGUAAUGAUUUCAUAUUAAUAUGGAUUAAAUUAUUAAGCGUCGAUCAAUUAAAUAAGGUAUGAAAUAUUAACUUUAGUAGUCAUAAAUUAUACAUUGUCGAAUAUUAUACAAAGCGUGGAUCAUGAAAACUUUGUUAUUGAACGUAACAUUGUCAAAGAACGAUUUCAAAUCGGGUCAAUCCAUACUGGUUCAUCACAACAAACACAUGUAACCUCCGCCAUGGAUGGAUCCGUCAAAACUUAUAUUAUACUGAAGGCCAAUUUAACGGCUGCACAAUCUGACGUUACCAAUGCCAUUUAUAGCAGCCACUGUUAUUACUUACAAUAAUAUGUUCAGAAAAUAUAGGGUACAUCAAGAGGCAAUCGGAGAGGGUUAAUAUGAUCAACGUCAUUUGGACGUUCACAAGUGCACUUGCUAGUGUCCCCCCAGGCGGAGUACAACCCAUAGGGAUGCUUUAUAUAGGCCCUUUGAAAAUAACAUCUUUCAGAUUGCGAUCCAAAAGAAAAAUGACUCCUAAACUUGAGCCCAAUUUUACACACAGUGAAGUCAUUUCCUUGAUUAUGCUGUUAUUACUAAUCUGAACGACAGACUGCACACGGAAAGGUCGAUAUGGGAGCACUACACGAAGCUUUGUUAGCGAUGAAUGGAUGUGGCAAGUAUGCAAUCAGAUGAUGGUGCUGACAACCAAAGGAACCAAUAUAUGUCAAAGUGGCGGCAACAUCAACCGACUUCGCGCCACCUCCGGAGUUCAGGUGUAAUUAAUUGCUUUGAUAUCAUUCAACUUUUUUAUGUGAUUCGGACAUACGUGCCACCAACGAAAUUUCCACCUUAAGUCUGCUGCCUUAAAUUCAUUCGUUAAGUAGGAGUGCUCAACAAUCUUCAAAUGCAGAUGACAGGAGGCAUACCAAAUAGGCGUGGAAGAUAAACCCUGUCGCUUCGAGCGCAUAAACCAGGUAAAAAGCACAGCACAAUAUCUGUUUCAUGUAAUUUACAACUUGUGAAAAUGAAUGAAUUUGUUUAUGCUUCAACAGAAUUAUUUAACAAUCUCACCUUAGCUUGUAUUCCACCCAAAUGUACAAACAAUUUGCGACACCGAAGCAUCUCGCCAUGUCGCAAUGCUUUUGGCCAUGCAGUAGUUAUAACAUGAUUCAUAAAUUGAAUGUUAAUGCAUGCCAUCCACGGGUGGUAAUGUGCAGGAGAGUUGAGAAGGACCGGCCAAAUUUACGACAAUCCACUAAAGUUAUAGAAGACGAAUGGCGGGCCGAAGUGAAGGAUACAAAAAAGAAAAAGAAAUUGACAUUCACGGGAUCUACCAACGAACGUCUGUCCUCCAACUGGUCCCCUGAAUAUAUUCGCAGUCGCAAAAGAACUCAUACAUGGGGGACGAUAUUGGAUGACAAGGGUGUAGCAAUCACAAGAAAAGUGUCCAGACAACUAUUUCCUACCAACAACACCGAAACAGCACAUGUUAGAGAUGAUAAACCAGUGGAUAUAUUACUAAAUAAACGCUGGCCAAUAAGGUGCUACUCCGAUGACGAAUGCGACAGGUUGGCAGACACCUAUUAGAAGGUUACACAUCCGAAAAUGAAAAGGAGACUUUCUAUACAUUCACAGCUAACCAACCGGACUGCCUAGAUGUCGGGGACACAUUCGUAUUUGACCACAGUGAACAACAUAAACUUAUUUUCUAUAUUGGACAGAAAUUUAAACAUGUCACAGCAUUUAGACAGGCACUUCAGGUGUCUGUAAUUCGUGAAGGGUUUAACUUGUGCGUUAUGGAAAAUCGAACUGAUGUUGUUAGUUGUGAGUGUUCUCAUCUGUGCUGUGACUAGCAAAUAAAGGCAGCGAGAGUUGUAAACGAAAAUACCUUUGUCGUAACAGAUUUCUCACCCCAACACAAAUGUCUCCGACGUGGCCCGAUAUUCCAACCUCGAUCGAAAUGGAUUUCGGCCAUGUUUCUUCAUCGGUGGAAACAAGAACCAACUAUCAGUACAAUUGCACUGACGCAUGAGAUUGAAGCUACCUUCGACUGUAAAUGCCCAGAAUGGAAGGUGUUCUGUGCAGCAAAUAGAGCCAAACAACUUCUGGGGAUUGAUCACGAAGACGGUUAUGCAAUGGUAAACUAGUUCAAACAAGAAAUGGAAACAAUCGAUAGGAACAACAUCGUGCUUGUCGACACCGAAAUACUGCCAUCGGACGGCGGAGAGAGAUUCAAGCGGAUGUUUGUGUGCUAUGAACGAGCCUCUUAUGCCUUCAAGGUGCAUUGUCAACGUCUGCUGGCCGUCGAUGGAUGGAAAAUGAACAAUCCAUAUAAUAGUGUCAUGCUAGUCGCAGCUGCACUUGAUGGAAAUAAUGGGAUAUUGCCUGUAGCAUUCUGCGAAGUUGAAGUUGAAGACAUGGAUUCUUGGGUUUAUUUUUUGAAGAACAUUAACAAUGCUUUGCGUUUAGAAUCUAGUACGGGUCUAUGCAUACUGGCCGAUGGAGAUAACGAUGUUGAAUAUGCUGUUGAAGAAUACCUCGCUCAUGCCACGUACAGACAAUGCUGCCACCGGAUCUUCACCGAAAUGGUCAAUAGAUUCCCCAAGGCAGCUGUUCACUACUUAUUCUGGGCUGCUUGCCGCAGCACGAGUGCAUCAGCUUUCUUUAAAUACAUGGAGUUGAUAUGUGUUCAAAGCAAAGAAUGCCAUGACUGGUUAGAGAAAUCAAAUUGGAAAAGGUGGGCGCUUUUUUGCGUGCCUGAAUGGGUAAAGUGCACUUGUAUUACACUAACAAUUACCGAAAAACUUCGCAAUUACUGUCAGCCAUAUUUGGAAAUGAACAUUGCAAGAAAAUUCGAGGCAAUUGCACGGUUAACAUCGGAACUAUUUGAACAAAGACGAAUGGUCGUAUGGAACUAGAACCGGGAGAAAGUACCACCAAAAGUUCAAGAUGUAAUUAACGAUCGUUGUAUUGAUGGUAAGCGGCUCAGCGUCGUUCAGGACCAUGGCACACUGCUGAAAGUUACUGAUAGUCUUUCCUCCUCUUAUGACCUAAACAUGGAAGCAAUGACAUGCACUUGUGGAUUAUGACAAAUCUCAGGUAUUCCCUGUCCUCAUGCUUGCAUCGGAAUACAUUACAUCAAUGGAAACGUUGAAGAUUAUGUCGACGAGUUAUUGUCUGUUCAAAAUUUUAUGUCCACUUAUGCGCCGGGCAUGAUGCAACUACCCAAAGAAAAUGCUUGGAAGUGGCAUUCAGGUCACAAUUUGCAUCCACCCAUGACUGUCGCUCUUCAACCUCUCACACUUCAGCCGCCCAAUGACAUCACGUCAAACAAAGAUUUACAACACACGCUUCAUCACUACUACUCUACUACGGACAACCUACAGGUUAAUGUUUUUCUUACACUAAUUGUAUGUCGCUUUCCAUAACUCAUCCUCGAGACAAUUACAUAUGCACUUUCAAUUCACUUUAUUUAACUGCUAACACUGGACACAGGAAACUACCUUUACCAACUCUAGUCAAGAGGAUGGCAUGUGUAUUAUGAUAUCCACCAGCAGCGAUGAUAGUAUAAGUAAGCAUUCAAAAUCUUUCCUUUUGCCCUAUGAUAAACGAAUUUAACAUUUGUAUUUCUUAAUUAACUAUGACCCUAAAUAUUACAGUUUUUUGUUUUCAUCCACAUGUUCAGUUAAAAUUUCGCUCUCUGCACAUAACCCAUUUGGCUUAUAAACUCCUUCCACCAAUUUCUCUGCAUUUCUUCUAAUUGUGUGUAAUAACAAACUUUUAAUACCAAAUAGACUAUUGAUGUAUUUGCCUGUUUUAUUCCGAUAUGUUGUUCAUUACCCACACUUUAACCUGUCUCUACCCCUAAUUUUUAUAUCAAUAAUGUUUGUUUCUUUCUCUGCAGUCGCUCUUCUACAUGGGAUGCAAGGUUGUGACAUUCUGAUAAAUAAUUGUCAUUGUCAAUGGAUUUUGUCGCUAUCCAUUAGUUACUGUUACUGCAUAAUCUUGGCUUAAUUCUGAUUUCAGUUUAUCUAUUUUCAUUGGUUACAGUUCUAACACACCACUUUCUUUUUAUCCUUUAUGUUAUCCACUAGUCUCGUAAGUAGUUUCCAAUUUACUAAUUAGUCGUAACUUUGGCAAUUGCAUUUCUCUACAGGCCUCUGAUGUCGCCACUUUAUCGGGUACAGGACCUCAACAUCAAAUAUUGCCCAUUAGGCCUCGCCCACAUUGCACUAUAGUAUUAUCUUUUUGAUAGUUUCUCAUCCGAUACUUCUGACUCACAGUGUGCUGUUGGGGAAGACUGUUAUUCUACCAAUUCCGCAGUAUUAAUCAACUUUUGAUAUCCACUACCAUUGAUGUUUUUGAGACUACGUCUUUCGCCUGUGUGAUUGUCCCAUAAUAGUUUGUUUCUUUUGUGGUGCCUUGGUUUGUAAAAUAAUGUCAAACAACGUCCCCUGAUGGGAAACAUCGCCAUUACUCACUAAUGCCCCUUAUCUGUUCUUACUACUAGAACCUUUUAAUUCAUUGUCGUUUUUGCAAUGUUUUUCCAUCGUAAUCUCAUAUGUAGUUGGCAAAUGCACUGAUACCCAUUAUUUCGCCAGUCUAUAUUCUCUCACAUUUAUCUUACAACCACCAUUAACAUAAACACGUCUCUCCUAUGGGUUUGACAACCAUGUAUCAGCUCUCUUCAGCUGUCGCAAAUACUUAUUACAUCAGAAAUUUCUGGAUAUGUAUUACAAGAGAACGUAAUUUAUCUCCUCUACACCUUCCACUCAACACUCGCUUUAUUCUUCCGCAAAUACUGCCUAUGGGUUAUACCAGAACAAUAACAUGAUAUCCAUUUCUUGCAACAGAUUAUCAUCCCCUCCAAAUGCCAGACAGUUCACCACAAAUUUGUCAAUAGCCCUUACAUCACCUUCCUUCUAUUCCGCACACCCAUCCCAUUCUGCAAGCACUUUUACUGCCACUACUUCCGCCGUGUACCCUAGGAUCAUUUGAUUGACCAACAACUCUCAUGUAAGCCCAAUAGUGUUUUUGUUUCACUUUCAAAACAAUCAUAAAUUUUACACGGUCAAACAACAUCACUAUACAGGCCCAAUAUUAGUUCAACUCGUAGGUUCUUCAUCUGCAAUCUUCUGAAUUGCUCUACAACUACGAGCCACAACUAAUAAUUCCUGCAAAUACAAAUCACAACUCACUAUCAAAUCCCCUGACAGUUCUUCCGGGAAAUCUCUUCCUCUAGGCAUGCUCCCUUAGCUGACGUUGGUUCCACAGAUUCUAGGACAAGCCAGGGACAUACUGAUUGAUUGGAGCGAAUCCUAUCUGCUUCCAUUCAUUGUCCCGUUCAUCCAACCAUCCGCUUAAAUUUUAGCGAAAGGAAUCUAUCUCUUAUCCCUAAGUAGACAUAGCAACAAUAAAACAAUAUUAAUAUAUAAUUUACCAUGUCAACCAUAUACAUCCACAAACACCAUGUAUUCAUUCUACAACUUUCCUCACACAUCAAAGCCUCGAAAGUGCUUCCACGAUAUUACUGAUCUUCAUUACAGUUCUUCUUGUAACUAAAUAUUAUCCCUGUUUGUAAUUAAUAAGCAAAUCCACCAAACAAUAAACAAUUCUUACACCAAUUUGCACCAACUCACAGAUGCUCCAUUGCAUGAAGACACACAUACGAACCCUCACUAAAUUAAUACUCAUUACCAUUAUUGCCAUACACUCAUCUCACCUACAAACACUUCUAAGCUAACCAAUACUGCCGAACUUUUUCAUUCACCACUUCCCUGUCAUUUCAACAUUCCCACAAUCGAUCAACUGACAAACAACUUACAUAAUUCAGCAUUCUUGCAUUCUAACAAAUUAAAAUUGCUCAAAUUUCAUUAAAGAACUACACCAAAUCAAAACAUCCAAGCCCUAUCCAACUACUGAACUAAUGGACUACACCCGAACUUAAUCAAUUCCCUGCAUGCACUUUGUCCCUGCAUUGCAUUUGCGCUGGGGCCAAAUUGUGUUCGGAUCAAUUUCUUUCCUUUCCCCAGUCAUAAAUAUAUCACUCUCGUCUUUCCUCUGUUUCUGCACAUUCACUAACACCACAAUACAUAGCAUUCCACCUAUAUAGUUCCUCCCUUUUCCAAAUAACAACUCCAAUAUUAACCGUUCAAUGAAACAUUUUUUCAAUUUUUUGCAUCUCUAGUAACUAUAAAAUUGAUAAUUGUAUAAUGCAUCUACACACCGAACAGAUUACACACACACAUCCCAAAUUUUUUUUUAAAUAGUACGAAAUUACAUGCCUCAUUCAAACCUCAUUAAAUGUUCAAACUUACAGAUUUUGCCAUUUUUCCCAUCUCUGAUGCAUUUAUCACAUAACAAGCCACCAAAUGUAUAUAAUUACACAUCUGCAACAUGCACAGCCUGUCAAUUUUCACUCUCUCAGAUAAAAAAACUCAAACCACUGUAGAUCACUGGACUAUCAACAUAUGUUCCUAUGUUUAACUUCUAUAUACAUCUUUUAAUUACUUCCAAUAUCAUACUAAUUAACAUUAUGGCUUACCAUGUGCUUAUCCCAUUGCUCAAACGCCUUUGAUCAUUUCAAGUCCAACUUUUCUUCGCCACCAUUUUCCCCCUCCCAACCAAAUCUUUUUUACCAGUAAUCCAUGACGCAAUAUCCAAUUUACACUCAAUCAUAAAUCUAUAACCUACAUCACCAGACCAACCAAAUACUUUUCUCAGAUUUCGUCCACAUUUACAAACUUCCCAUAAAAUGACAAUAUCGCUGCAACGCCUACAAACAACCCACUUGUAUAAUACAAACAAAACCUACUUCAGUUAUCCACACUCAUAUGAAAUAACAACAAUCCUUCCACUCACACAAACCCCAAUUUCAUAUUAUUUCGUCAAUCGUCAAAAUAAAACAAAUUACCUCGUCUUCACCCAAAAAUCCUUAUAUCCCCUCUACACUUUACGCAAUCCAUAUUCCACCUUUUCCCAUAACACAAAUCUUCCUUUUUCAUUAUCUUUUGUUUCCUGUACGAUCGAUAACUGGAACCCCUUUAAUCCAAAUAAUAUUAUUUCCUAUUUUUUCACGGAAUUUUAUUCUUUCCCUCACGUCCGUUACUUAACGAUUAUUUUACCUUUUCCUUACCGCCUUCCCUGGUUUCACUGAACACAAAUAUUGGUUAAUUUUAACCGUUAGAUGCACUAACUUUUCAUCCAACGGCUUCUCCGAAUACAGACAAAAACCGUUAUACGGUAUCACGGUUGCACGAUAGGCGACUCCCCCAAAUUAUUUUCGAAAACCAAAAGCAUUUCCAUUGCUAAGGAGGGGAAAAAACACGCAUUUCUUAGACAAACUACUAUAAAAAAUUCUAAUCAAACUCUGACAAUAGAAAAAAAUGUUUAUGUAAAAUGCAUUCAAUAAUGCAUUUAAUAGACAUCUAAAAUGGAUGUGAAUAUGAAUGAGCGAAUUUACGUUGUAAUGCUCGUAAUUUUUUUUUAUUUUAGACAAUGCUAUUUUUUAUUAAUAUAUAAAAACUCGUGGCUUAUCAUAGGAUGUGCUUAUACAACAUUAAUUAUUAUAAUGAAAAAUGUUAUUAAGACUCUUUACAAGUAACACCAAUUGCAGCGUAGAUAGACUUGAGUGAUGAAGCGCUUUAGGCCAUGGCACUUAAGUUUUGAUAGUUGCAAGUUGCUACUAGAUUUAGUAGCAAUAUGGAGCUGUGGAAUUAUCCUUAAUAUCUUGAGGGCAAUGAAAAGACACGGUGAGGAGUUCCAACUUCUACUUAUCUAGAGCUUGGGCAAGGGCUUCUUGCUCACAAACGACAGAUGGAAUCUCUGUAUGCAAGUAAUGGUCCAUUUGCAAAUGAGCAAAAUACUAAGGAAACCAAAAUAUCCAAGCAAGAAAAUCAACAGAAUUUCUUUCUAAUUAGCCAUUCAAAUAUAAUCAGCACCGUGCAGUAAGCUGAAAGCAUACAGAUUUCAAUGAUAGACAAUAUGAUUACAGAGACGAUAUGAUCUCUAUAGCUCUGGGAAAGGAUGUAAUUAGAGAGAAGCAGACAAAUGCCACUACCUCAUGUUGCCAUAUCAUUUCAGAGGACUUCCUCUUUAUUCUUUCGCUCCAAUGUCCAAUGUAGCAGAACUUAUGAAAGAAAAAUACCUAUCAACCUCCUAGUUAUCACUACUUUUGCAUACUAUAAGAGAAGAUUUUGAACAAAACUACAACAAGGAAACAUCAACAUUGCUCCCAUCUUUCUGGUCAAUCAUUGUCUUUGGUGGCAGCCUCUGAAGCUGGAGCUGAAGCUGGAACUGGAGCUGGAGCUGGAGCUGGAGCUGGAGCAGAAGCAAUCAUCAGAGAAUCGAAUUUUUCGGAUUUCCCCAACACUAUUUCAAUCUGCAAGUCAUUACCCAUUAUAAGAAAAGUUAUGAGAAAUUUUUACGUCGUUAAUACGUUUGCUAGCAUAUUGACCAACUGUAUACUCAAACCUACCUUGGCCUUCUGAAUAAAUCGUCCUUUGUUCUCAUCUUUCAUGCCCACGGUAGAUGUUAAGACUUCUGUUUUAUGUAUAUCAAGAAGAGUUAACGAAUUAGCUACCCUUAGAUAAAUUAAAGACAAUGCUGAGCAUUAAGCGGGGAGGAUUCUUACUCUUCUCAGUAGCCAGUCCAUUGUUCUUCAAAAUCUCGGCAAUGGUGACAACAGUAGUAAUUGCUGUAAAAAGACAUUAGAGUGUCAAUUAAUUACUUGGUUUCGAGGUGUAAACUCAUGAACUAAAACUCAAACUGGCAUGAUAAUUUUAUCAAACAUUGGAAGUUUCAACUAUUAAUUAACAAUCACAGGAAUGUUUUACGUCUAAGUUUUCAGCCCAAAGAAUCAUCUCCUGUAUUUCCUUCUUUGGUCCUGACACAAAUCCCCUUUCAAAUCUUUGGAAUUGUACAAGGGCAUGGACCUAGUAUCUAAUGCCUUCAAAACUUUCCAGUUUAUCCUAAAUCCAUAACUGACUGUGACUGAACUUUAAACUAAAUGGUGCAUGUAGAGUCAACUAAGUUGAAUGAAGUGUCAAUCGAUCCCUAAGUCGCAACAUCAUCAAUCACCAUAUUGAGAGACUGAAAGUUUAGACAACAAAAAUAUAAAGAUCACUAUACAUUAGAUAUUUUGGAUUCCUAGCUUCUGCUUGGCUUGUCAACUAGAGGCAUACGUUAAUGAAUCUCUUCACAGGGCAUAACUUCAUCCACAUCGCGGCAACAGCAAACAUAACUCCUAGUUUCAGCAUGUCCAAACAAUAACAAUAAACACCUACAGUUAUAGCCCUUCAAAUUAAUCCCCAUCAGAUCUCCAGUCCACUGUAACUAUUUCAAGUACAAGGUAACUUUAGUAAUGUGCUUUCUUGUUAUACAGGGAACUAAAUUAUGCAAAUAGAAUUCAGAUAUAAAUCUAUUUUGUCGCUGAUGCAGAGAAACUGAACACCUAGAAUGUGAUGUGAACAAUGAAAGAAAGAUGAAUUUGAAGAAACAUACCCAUACCCAAUGCAGAAAGCUCGACCUCAUUGUGCUGCUGUAUGUACCUCUGCAUCAAAAGGACAACACGAGAAAACAUUGCAACAAUCAGGCCAUGUACAAAUGAUAUACGAUUUUCCUAAAACAAAUCAAAGUUUAUGCACAAUGCCUCGUAGAAACAGAUCAAAUGAAAUGAAGCAAUGCAAAUUCCUUUUCUUAACAACAGAAUGAUGGCAGUAAAUCAAAAUCUUUUAUGAUUUUAGGAGAUCUACAAUAUCUCUUAAAGAAGAAGGGAA
rnacentral:lncRNA from 1 species